AUUGAACGCUGGCGGCAGGCCUAACACAUGCAAGUCGAGCGAGCGGCGGACGGGUGAGUAAUGUAUGGGGACUGCCCGAUAGAGGGGGAUAACUACUGGAAACGGUAGCUAAUACCGAAUACUAUCGGAUAACCCAUAUGGGAUGAGAUAGUAGGUGAGGUAAUGGCUAACCUAGGCGACGAUCCCUAGCUGGUCUGAGAGGAUGACCAGGCACACGGGGAAUGAGACACGGCCCAGACUCCUAGGGAGGCAGCAGUGGGGAAUAUUGCGCAAUGGGCGCAAGCCUGAUGCAGCCAGGCCGCGUGUAUGAAGAAGGCCCUAGGGUUGUAAAGUACUUUCAGUCGGGAGGCGUUACCGACAGAAGAAGCACCGGCUAACUCCGUGCCAGCAGCCGCGGUAAUUC
rnacentral:rRNA from 1 species